GGGUUGUGAGGUUAAGCGACUAAGCGUACACGGUGGAUGCCCUGGCAGUCAGAGGCGAUGAAGGACGUGCUAAUCUGCGAAAAGCGCCGGCGAGGUGAUAUGAACCUUUGACCCGGCGAUGUCCGAAUGGGGAAACCCAGUGUGUUCCGACACACUAUCGUUAACUGAAUACAUAGGUUAACGAGGCGAACCGGGGGAACUGAAACAUCUAAGUACCCCGAGGAAAAGAAAUCAACCGAGAUUCCCCCAGUAGCGGCGAGCGAACGGGGAGCAGCCCAGAGUCUGAAUCAGCUUGUGUGUUAGUGGAAGCGUCUGGAAAGUCGCACGGUACAGGGUGACAGUCCCGUACACGAAAGCACACAGGCUGUGAACUCGAAGAGUAGGGCGGGACACGUGGUAUCCUGUCUGAAUAUGGGGGGACCAUCCUCCAAGGCUAAAUACUCCUGACUGACCGAUAGUGAACCAGUACCGUGAGGGAAAGGCGAAAAGAACCCCGGCGAGGGGAGUGAAAAAGAACCUGAAACCGUGUACGUACAAGCAGUGGGAGCCUCUUUUAUGGGGUGACUGCGUACCUUUUGUAUAAUGGGUCAGCGACUUAUAUUCUGUAGCAAGGUUAACCGUAUAGGGGAGCCGAAGGGAAACCGAGUCUUAACUGGGCGUUAAGUUGCAGGGUAUAGACCCGAAACCCGGUGAUCUAGCCAUGGGCAGGUUGAAGGUUGGGUAACACUAACUGGAGGACCGAACCGACUAAUGUUGAAAAAUUAGCGGAUGACUUGUGGCUGGGGGUGAAAGGCCAAUCAAACCGGGAGAUAGCUGGUUCUCCCCGAAAGCUAUUUAGGUAGCGCCUCGUGAACUCAUCUUCGGGGGUAGAGCACUGUUUCGGCUAGGGGGCCAUCCCGGCUUACCAACCCGAUGCAAACUACGAAUACCGAAGAAUGUUAUCACGGGAGACACACGGCGGGUGCUAACGUCCGUCGUGAAGAGGGAAACAACCCAGACCGCCAGCUAAGGUCCCAAAGUCAUGGUUAAGUGGGAAACGAUGUGGGAAGGCACAGACAGCCAGGAUGUUGGCUUAGAAGCAGCCAUCAUUUAAAGAAAGCGUAAUAGCUCACUGGUCGAGUCGGCCUGCGCGGAAGAUGUAACGGGGCUAAACCAUGCACCGAAGCUGCGGCAGCGACGCUUAUGCGUUGUUGGGUAGGGGAGCGUUCUGUAAGCCGUUGAAGGUGUCCUGUGAGGGGUGCUGGAGGUAUCAGAAGUGCGAAUGCUGACAUAAGUAACGAUAAAGCGGGUGAAAAGCCCGCUCGCCGGAAGACCAAGGGUUCCUGUCCAACGUUAAUCGGGGCAGGGUGAGUCGACCCCUAAGGCGAGGCCGAAAGGCGUAGUCGAUGGGAAACAGGUUAAUAUUCCUGUACUUGGUGUUACUGCGAAGGGGGGACGGAGAAGGCUAUGUUAGCCGGGCGACGGUUGUCCCGGUUUAAGCAUGUAGGCGGAACGAUUAGGUAAAUCCGGUCGUUUAUUAACGCUGAGGUGUGAUGACGAGGCACUACGGUGCUGAAGUAACAAAUGCCCUGCUUCCAGGAAAAGCCUCUAAGCAUCAGGUAACACGAAAUCGUACCCCAAACCGACACAGGUGGUCAGGUAGAGAAUACCAAGGCGCUUGAGAGAACUCGGGUGAAGGAACUAGGCAAAAUGGUGCCGUAACUUCGGGAGAAGGCACGCUGAUAUGUAGGUGAAGCCCCUGCGGGUGGAGCUGAAAUCAGUCGAAGAUACCAGCUGGCUGCAACUGUUUAUUAAAAACACAGCACUGUGCAAACACGAAAGUGGACGUAUACGGUGUGACGCCUGCCCGGUGCCGGAAGGUUAAUUGAUGGGGUUAGCGGCAACGCGAAGCUCUUGAUCGAAGCCCCGGUAAACGGCGGCCGUAACUAUAACGGUCCUAAGGUAGCGAAAUUCCUUGUCGGGUAAGUUCCGACCUGCACGAAUGGCGUAAUGAUGGCCAGGCUGUCUCCACCCGAGACUCAGUGAAAUUGAACUCGCUGUGAAGAUGCAGUGUACCCGCGGCAAGACGGAAAGACCCCGUGAACCUUUACUAUAGCUUGACACUGAACACUGGUCCUUGAUGUGUAGGAUAGGUGGGAGGCUUUGAAGCGUGGACGCCAGUCUGCGUGGAGCCAACCUUGAAAUACCACCCUUUAAUGGCUGGUGUUCUAACGUAGACCCGUGAUCCGGGUUGCGGACAGUGUCUGGUGGGUAGUUUGACUGGGGCGGUCUCCUCCCAAAGAGUAACGGAGGAGCACGAAGGUUAGCUAAUCCUGGUCGGACAUCAGGAGGUUAGUGCAAUGGCAUAAGCUAGCUUGACUGCGAGAGUGACGGCUCGAGCAGGUGCGAAAGCAGGUCAUAGUGAUCCGGUGGUUCUGAAUGGAAGGGCCAUCGCUCAACGGAUAAAAGGUACUCCGGGGAUAACAGGCUGAUACCGCCCAAGAGUUCAUAUCGACGGCGGUGUUUGGCACCUCGAUGUCGGCUCAUCACAUCCUGGGGCUGAAGUAGGUCCCAAGGGUAUGGCUGUUCGCCAUUUAAAGUGGUACGCGAGCUGGGUUUAGAACGUCGUGAGACAGUUCGGUCCCUAUCUGCCGUGGGCGCUGGAGAAUUGAGGGGGGCUGCUCCUAGUACGAGAGGACCGGAGUGGACGCAUCACUGGUGUUCGGGUUGUCAUGCCAAUGGCACUGCCCGGUAGCUAAAUGCGGAAGAGAUAAGUGCUGAAAGCAUCUAAGCACGAAACUUGCCCCGAGAUGAGUUCUCCCUGAGACUUUAAGUCUCCUGAAGGAACGUUGAAGACUACGACGUUGAUAGGUCGGGUGUGUAAGCGCAGCGAUGCGUUGAGCUAACCGAUACUAAUGAACCGUGAGGCUUAACCUUACAACGCCGAAG
rnacentral:rRNA from 1 species